rnacentral:rRNA from 1 species
UACGGAGGGGGCAAGCGUUGUUCGGAAUUACUGGGCGUAAAGGGCGCGUAGGCGGCCUUCUAAGUCGAACGUGAAAUCCCUGGGCUCAACCCAGGAACUGCGUCCGAUACUGGAAGGCUUGAAUCCGGGAGAGGGAUGCGGAAUUCCAGGUGUAGCGGUGAAAUGCGUAGAUAUCUGGAGGAACACCGGUGGCGAAGGCGGCAUCCUGGACCGGUAUUGACGCUGAGGCGCGAAAGCCAGGGGAGCAAACGGG